rfam:Triticum aestivum genome assembly, contig: Triticum_aestivum_CS42_TGACv1_scaffold_592948_7BS
AAGUUACUCCCUCCGUCCCAAAAUUUUUGUCUUAGAUUUCUCUAGAUACAGAUAUAUCUAAUACUAAACCGUGACUUGAUACAUUCAUAUUUAGACAAAUCUAAGAGAAGAAUUUUGAGACGGAGGGAAAUAAUAU